rnacentral:rRNA from 1 species
UCACACUAUCAUUAACUGAAUCCAUAGGUUAAUGAGGCGAACCGGGGGAACUGAAACAUCUAAGUACCCCGAGGAAAAGAAAUCAACCGAGAUUCCCCCAGUAGCGGCGAGCGAACGGGGAGGAGCCCAGAGCCUGAAUCAGCAUGUGUGUUAGUGGAAGCGUCUGGAAAGGCGCGCGAUACAGGGUGACAGCCCCGUACACAAAAGCGCAUGUGCUGUGAGCUCGAUGAGUAGGGCGGGACACGUGGUAUCCUGUCUGAAUAUGGGGGGACCAUCCUCCAAGGCUAAAUACUCCUGACUGACCGAUAGUGAACCAGUACCGUGAGGGAAAGGCGAAAAGAACCCCGGCGAGGGGAGUGAAAAAGAACCUGAAACCGUGUACGUACAAGCAGUGGGAGCACAGGUUUACCUG